AUUGAACGCUGGCGGCAGGCUUAACACAUGCAAGUCGAGCGAGCGGCGGACGGGUGAGUAAUGUCUGGGAAACUGCCUGAUAGAGGGGGAUAACUACUGGAAACGGUGGCUAAUACCGCAUACUAUCGGAUGAACCCAUAUGGGAUUAGCUAGUAGGUGGGGUAAAGGCUCACCUAGGCGACGAUCUCUAGCUGGUCUGAGAGGAUGAUCAGCCACACUGGGACGGAGACACGGCCCAGACUCCUACGGGAGGCGGCAGUGGGGAAUAGUGCACAAUGGGCGAAAGCCUGAUGCAGCCAUGCCGCGUGUAUGAAGAAGGCCUUCGGGUUGUAAAGUACUUUCAGUCGGGAGGCGUUACCGACAGAAGAAGCACCGGCUAACUCCGUGCCAGCAGCCGCGGUAAUAC
rnacentral:rRNA from 1 species